rnacentral:miRNA from 10 species
ACGGGUUUCGCGAUCGAUGAACA